GACAGAGGGGGCAAGCGUUGCUCGGAAUUACUGGGCGUAAAGGGCGCGUAGGCGGGAUGGCAAGUCGGUCGUGAAAUCCCUCGGCUCAACCGAGGAACGUCGAUCGAUACUGCUGUUCUUGAGGAUUGCAGAGGAGACUGGAAUUCCCGGUGUAGCGGUGAAAUGCGUAGAUAUCUGGAGGAACACCGGUGGCGAAGGCGGCAUCCUGGUCCAGCACCGACGUUCAGGCACGAAAGCGUGGGGAGCAAACAGG
rnacentral:rRNA from 1 species